CCCCCGAUGGUCUAGUUGGUUCAUGGCGUCUGACUGUAAAUCAGAAAGUCACCAGUUCGAUUCUGGUUCGGGGGA
rnacentral:tRNA from 1 species